GUCCUCAUGAGAAGGAGAAGACACGUCCGCAAUUUUCAGAGGAUUAUUUUGACGAAUUGUUUGAAGACCCAAGAUUUAUGGAACGACUCUACCAAGCUAUGGAUAAGAAGGAAUCAAGAAAAGACAAUGAAAAUGACACGGACGAGGAGGGAGAAUUCUGUAUUUUGUAUUGAAUUUAGGGGUUUCAAAACUUUAACUUAAUCAAACAAAAUGCUUUUGUUGUAGUUUUAUGUUUAAAACUUGGUGUUGUUUGAAGAA